AACCAUAAACAUGCACCAAUUUUUCAAUGGGUACUCUGAAGGCCUCUUGGAUAGUGAAGGCCGGCCCAAAAUUUUGAAGUUGGAGGAUUGGCCUCCAACUGAAUCCUUUCAAGAACGGCUGCCUCGGCAUUUCGUGGAGUUCAUUAGAUGCUUGCCUUUCAAGCUAUACACGCAUCAAGAUGGCUACCUCAACAUGCCAGCGAAAACACCGAAGAAGUCGUUGAAGCCCGAUUUGGGUCCAAAAAUAUGCUUUGCUUAUGGAGUCAAUGAGGACCUUGGAUUCUGUUCUACAACCAAGCUUCAGUAUGCUCUUUCAGAUAUUGUACAUUUUUUUUCUGUUAUUAUCUCUCUUUAUUAACUUGAAUAUGUAUGAGAAUAUAUGAACUGCUUUAAAUCAUUUCCGGUUAGUCUGCCUAUUGCAUCGAUAGAAGCAGUACAUCUCCGAAAGAAUAUUCUUAUGAAGUCCUGGGUAUUUAUAUCUAUUCAACGCAGUCCUAAUUCUUCUUUCUUGCAUGUAACAUGGUAAUCUUAAUUGUUGACUCAUUAUACGCAAGGUAGAAUUAUGUUGAAUGUGCUUUAGACUUGAGUUUCAGUUAGGAAUAAUAGUCAUGAAAAUAUUCGGAAUAAUGUAGAGGCAUAAAAGUUCGAUCACAAACUAUUUCUUGAAGAAGAGAAAUGGAUUUGUUGUGAGCCUCAAUGGUUCUUGAAAUAUGACAUAGUCAUAUAAUUGAUACUAACAUAAUGUUAGUUUUAAUACUAAUUUCAAUCAUAGUUUUAAUUCAAAUUAUAAUCCUAAUAUAAUGUUAGUCUUAAUCUUAAUAAUAAUUCUAAUCAAAAUCUUAAUCCUAAUAAUAAUACGAAUCAUAAUUCUAAUCCUUAUAGAAAUGCAAAUAUGCUAAUUCUAACGGUAAUCUUAAUACCAAUCUUUAUAUGCUAAUGUAUGGUUAUGCAAAUCCUAAUUCUAAUUAUAAUUCUAAUCAUAAUGUUGGUCUUAAUACUAAUUCUAAUCAUAAUGCUAAUCCUAAUAUUAAUAAUAAUUCUAAUAUGUUAAUGCUAAUACUAAUACUAAUCAUAAUAUACUAAUGCUAUUACUAAUACUAUUACUAAUAUUAAUUAGCUAAUGCUAAUAUUAAUAUACAAAAUGUUAAUGCUAAUACUAAUACUAAUAUACUAAUAUUAAUCUUAAUAUAUAAUGUACUAAUACUAAUACUAAUACUAAUAUAUUAGUACCAAUGCAUACCAAUAUCAAUACCAAUACCAAUACCAAUAUCAGUACAAUUAUUAAUAUCAAUACCAAUACCAAUACCAAUAUCAAUACCAAUACCAAUAUCAAUACUAAAAUGCCUAAUUGGGCCAGCCCAAUGGGCCUACAAUCUCUUUACCUAUUGGGCCACGAGCCCAAUAUCUAAGACUAUUAUCACCGAGGCCCAAUCACCUUCAAAUAAUGUUUGGGCCCAACAAUCUCAUCUAAGCUAUAAAUAAAGGUUUGAACUCAUUCCUCAAGGUACGUCCUAUUAACUGAGCAAUACUAUUAACUGUAUUCUCUGGACUAUUUCUAUGAUCAGCACGUCUGACUUGAGCGUCGGAGGGGUUUCCGCCGGAUCAACCCCCGGCUUAGUUCAUGUGUUCUAUGAUCGCAGGUACCUCAGGAUCAUCAAGUUGUCAAGCUACUGAUCCGCUUUGCUCUCCCAGUUUAUUUUCUCCACUACCCCAGGUGAUCUAAGUAAUUAACAUCAUCAUUUUGGCGCCGUCUGUGGGAACGAUGCAAACCAGAUCACGUAGCCAACAAGAUGCUCCUGAGGCGUCUGCUCGGAGAGAAGAUGACACAGCUAACGACCUCCCACCUCGUGGAGGCUCUGGCUUGCCGUCUCCUCCACGUCCCAUGGAUCCGCCUCGCGAGGUUCAGAUGAUCCCCCAUCGGGACCAACCACUCGCCGAUCCACCACUCCCUGCUCCUCGAAUGGUUCAAAUAACCGAGGAUGCGUUCCAACGCAUGAUGGCACAAGCUUCAACUCGCGCUGCCACAGAGGCCGUGACCCAGUAUAUCGCCACGAUGGGAGCAAAUGCUCCCAACGCGAUACCAACACCUGCUCCACAUGUGGAGCCACCUAUGGCACCACCGCCAUCGACUCUCUGGGGGCUUACAUCUGCCCCCAAAAUAUUUCACUCGCCAAGGGUUAUCGACUCCCUGGGGGCUUACAUCUGCCCCCAAAAUAUUUCGUUCGCCAAGGGUUAUCGACUCCCUGGGGGCUUACAUCUGCCCCCAAAAUAUUUCGUUCGCCAAGGGUUAUCGACUCCCUUGGGGCUUAAAUCUGCCCCCAAAAUAUAUCGCUCGCCAAGGGUUAUCGACUCCCUGGGGGUAUACAGUGCCCCCAAAACAUUUCGUUCGCCAAGGGUUAUCGACUCCCUGGGGGUUUAUAGUGCCCCCAAAAAAUAUAACAUUCCAAGGGGUGAACAUCAACCACCAAGAAAAAAAAUCAAAGAAGAAGACGAAAAAACAGAAGAAGAAAGAAAAAGAAUGAAGAAGAUGAAAAAAUAGAAGAAAAAAGAAGAAGAACAAAGAAGAAAAAAGAAGAUGAAAAAAUACAAGAACAAGAAAAAAAAAAACAAAAAAAAAAAUCGGGCACGAUUCCCGAGGCAGCCGCGGGCACGAUUCCCGAUGCAGUGCGCGGGCACGGAACCAAUAUUAUUAGGGUGGAAUACUGACCCAUGGUUAUAUCAAACCAAAAACAAUUAUUAUAUGGCAAAGAAAAUUACAAGAAACAACUUGUAAAUUCCCGAAGGUUGUUGUAGAACAUCGAUGGAGAAUCGAUCUUGAAGAACUCAAAAUCAUUCAUUAAACUUUGUGUACGGAAGCUAUGUAUACAACCUAUUUAUAAGUGUUUCAAAGUCUCAUUUCUUACAAAAAAAAAAAGAGUUCAUACCUUUACUAUAAUAAGAAAACUAACAAUUAAGCUAAUUCUAACCAUAAACGAAUUCUAAGUGUUGCUUUUUCUUGAAAAUUAUCAACUAUACAUCAUUUUUCUUAAUUGGUGGAGAUUUGGGAAUGCAUGUGCAACAACUUUGAGCCCAUUUUGUCCAUCUUGCAUUCCGUCUGUUUUUAAAGCAUGAAACUUCAAGAUCUUUUGUUGGUUUUGCGUAACAUUUUGAAUCAUAGCAAUCCAAUAUCGGACGUGAGAGUUAUGAUCCGAAUUGAAAAAUUGCGAGAGACAUCCGAGAUUUUGGACGCAUGACGACUUCCUUUCUUUAUUGCCUUCGAAUUCCUCAUCAUGGGGACCUUAAAGUAUUGAUUCAAGUUUAUAUUCUUCACGGCCAACUCCCACAAGAUCACGAAUUCUCUCUUCUCCCAAUUCUUCCAAAUCUUCAUCUUCAAGCAUGUCAAGAUCGUAUCAGAAGGAGAAUCUUCAGAAGGAGUAGGAAAAGCUUUAGAGAGAGAAGAAAUGUUGGCGUCUUAUAUACCUAGAACACACAAGUAUUACAUGAGGAUGGUCAAAGCUCUUUAAAUGAGAAAAAUUGUUUCCAUAUUAAUAAUGCAUAACGAUGAAAUUCUUCUCCGCGAGUUGAUAUUAUGAUGAUUGAACUUAUUAACUUCUAAUACUAUUUUAAUACAUAAAUUAACUUCUUAAGAAAGUGAUCUUAAAUUAUAGGAAUUUCGAGUUUCUAAAAUACCGUUAGACCGUACUAAAUAGAAAAUACGGAUUAAGACUAUAAAGUAUAAAAUAACCUAUUAUUAUCUUCAAUAAAAAUUAUGUUGAAAGUGGUUCGUUAGUAAACCUUCUUAUUGGGAGUAGAAAGAGUAAUCUCUCAAUACUUCAAGUUUCAUAUAUGAAGCGAGUCAAAAUGGGUGAGGGUAUUUUCUAUAAAUAGUAAAUACUAUAUACAUAUACAUAUGGUAAAUAAAAGGAUAUUAUAGAUCCGCCAUAGAAUUUAUCAAAUUCUCAUACAAGGUAUUGAAUCUAAUACAAUGAUUUUGUUGUAUCUAGGUAUCGAGUAGGAACGACUUUUUCAUAACGUAAGUUGUUUUAAACUUUAGCCAAGGAUCUUGCUUCUAGAUUGCAUUUGGUCGACUUCGUGCAAAAAUAGUACAUGUAGAGUUAAAAUGAGAUAUAUUAAAUAGUUCACUAGAUACUUACUCUAGUAUGCGAUGUUACAAACGUAAUUUUUUGCUAUUACUCGAUCACCCUAGAUUUGAGCUAUAUAUCAUAUUAACAUUCGAGCAAGAUAAACAUAGAAAAUUUCUAAUAGUCGUCAAAGGAAUGUUUGUUUCCUUUUAUGUUUGAUAUGAUUCCUAACUACGUAAAGACUUUAACUUAAACUACUAAAUAGUUUAAUAGGUAAAGAUAUUUAUUUUGGUGUUAUAUGUUACCCAUGUAAGCUUUGUGCUUUAUUUUGGUGCUUGUUCAUAGAAAGUUUAUGCUAGUUGUCGAAGGAAUCUUGGAGUCUUUCUCGAUGUUUAAUAUUUUGUUACCUAAAUCAUUCAACUUAACCUUGUUGAUUGCACUCAAGAUCUCUUUCUACCAUUGCCUACGUUGUUCGUAUGGAACAUACGAACAUGUUACUACAACAAGUGAUCCUCCUUUUGUUGAUUCUAACUUUCCUCUCUUUUUUAAUUUUGUUUUAGGUCAAUGUCUUGAUGCAUACAGCUGAAACGUCUCUUAAUCCGGAAGAGCUUUCAACAAUAGUGCAGUUGAGAAGGAAGCACAUUGCCCAAGAUCCAGUUGUAUUUUCUGUAAGCAACGGGAAACCAAAUCAAGAUGCCACGAGAAAUCAACAAUUUGAAAGGGAAAAUAAAAAUAAAGGAAAGGAAAUAUUUGAUCCUUCAACCUCAGGAAACAACGAUCAAAGCUUCGAUGAACAAAAAUGUGGUGCUAUCUGGGACAUUUUUCAGAGGAAAGAUGUUCAUAAGUUGGAACACUAUCUUCGGAGGCAUUACGGAGAGUUCAGGCGUAUCGUCCCUUUGCAGCAAGUAAUUAAAUCUUGACUUUGAAAACAAUGUUCUACUUAACUUAUUCUGUUAUGGGGUUUAUCUCUUAUAUGGUAGUUACUAUUGUUUUUCUAACAGAAUUCUAAAAAUCAAAAUUUUAUUAAGAUUUUGGUAUGAUCUUUUAUUGUCGUAGGCUAAGUAGAUAAAUGUCUUUUAUUUUUCCAAAGUAUUGAUAUGUUUUGGAAUAUUACUAAUUUAUUUUUUCCUCUAUUCAAGCACAGCUGGUUAAUCAUAUUCAUGAGAAACCAUUUUACUUAACAAUGGAGCAUAAAAGGAAGCUGAAAAAUGAAUAUGGUAUGUUUUUAUUGUCUUGUAAAGUGGUAUAUGUGUGAAUCUGUAUAUAUUGAUUAUCUAUUUUAUAUAUUUUUUUGUAGGAAUUGAACAAUGGACCUUUGUCCAGAGAUUAGGCGAUGCAGUUUUGGUACCAGCUGGCUGCCCGUACCAAGCUAGAAACUUAAAGGUUUGAGUGUUUGACUCGUAUAAACUUCGUGAACGACGACUUCAAUUAUUUUCAGUCGAAUGUAAAUUUUUUGCUGUGAAUUUUGCAAUUAAUUUUUGUGUGCGUGUUCCAUCUUGCAGUCGUGUACGAGUAUGUCCAUCGACUUUGUUUCAGCUGAAAGCGUCGGUCAGUGCAUCCACCUAUCAACGGAGUAUCGGCGUCUCCCAAAGAAUCAUAGUUGUAAGGAAGACAAGCUGCAGGUAUGUAAAAAAUAUGAUUUCUUGUCAAUAAACAAAAUCAAAGAUAUAUAAUGAAUAAAAUUUGUCUGCUUGUAAGAAAACAAAGAUUGUGGACGAUAUCUAACUGCUCGUAAAGAAACAGGUGAAGGGAUUGAUUCUCAGUGCUGUCUGCCAAGCUGUGCAGUACUUGGACAAGAUUGAUGCGUAAGUCAAUAUAUACAUAGGUUUGUUAAACAUAUGUCUUUGAUACGAUGUUAAUUUAUUUUAUUUUGUUCUUUCCCAGUAUGACGUUAAGAAGUCAAUUUGCACCCCCCCUUUGAGCAUGGGAAUGUACGCCAAAAUCCAGCUCAACAAUGGGAGAGACCUAGUAUUUUACAAAUGAGGAGGGAGUUGGAGAGGAUGAAAUUGGCUCUCGAAACGAAAGGAUACCUUUUUAAACCACAUAUGAAAGAGUAUCUCUUAAAAUAGAUAACGCUCCUCACUAAUAAAAUAAUCUCUAGUGCUGGCUCUUCUUCAUCUUAGUUACACCAUUUUUAACGGUUAGCCUGAAUAAAAUUUUGACAUUUUCAUAUGUGGAACUAUACUUUAUAAUUUUGUGCCAUACUUUUGUCCGAUUUCAUGAAUUUCGAAUUCGAGUUGGUCUUGGCAUGAUGCAGGCUAAUGAUUCUGUUUUUUUUUAUCUGUUUGCUAAUGUUAUGUUUGCUGAAUGCACAGGCCUGUUAGCAGUGGAUAUUGGGUUUAGGUGCUCAUGAGAAAUUCACAAAACGUAGUAAGGUACUAUCAAACCCGUCCGGUAUAUUUUAUAUCUUUCCAAAAUGUAUAUUGUUGCCAGCUAAGAUUGGUCAACGCUGAUACAUUAGAUGAGCUGGCGUGGCGUGGCUGCAUAAGGCACAAUUUAUUGCGAAUCGCUGCAUUGGCUGCCGGCCUUAUCACGGUAGACUUUCUCACCAUUAUAUAACACUCGUUUUCCCUUCCCCAUUCAUUCCCAUAUCUCGCAUCUCUCUAUUCCUCUUUCAGUUUUCUUCUCAUCAUUUUCUCACACAUAUUUGUAAGUUUUUUAUUAGUUUUCGAAUGAUGACCCCACCCCCCCCCACCCCCACCCCCCCCACCCAGUUGUAUUCACCAUUUAAUUUUCCAUCUUCCAACUAUUUUAUAUAAUUGAUGAUUUUUGAUUUAUUCUGGUUCAAAAUCAGAUGCAUUUCGUUUAAUGAGAUACGCAAUUUAUUUUUGUUUUUGUUUUUGAUUUUGUACUUUUCGAUCUUUCAUCCCCCUCCCGAGUUGAUUAACUUAACCAUUUAUUUCUAGUAAUAUUCAUUUCUCUGGAUAUUCUUGAAAACACGACAACUUUUACUUUGGAUUAGAAAGAGUACUCACGUAGAUCAUAUAUUUUUGUCAUUUCGAUUUGCAGAUUAGUUUUCUACGACUAACUUUUGACUUUUGUGUCCUAGCUAUCUUUCUCCUCUUUCUGAUGACCCUUUUCUUUUUUUCUUUUUUUCUUAUUGUGAAGUUACCAAUGAAGGAAAAUUAAGAUGAAGCGGCCCAGUCUGAAGGUAAAUUUCGUAAUUACAAUCUUGGCACUUCUCUAAUAUGAUUUAUCCAACAAUCAAAAAAAUUGUAAUGUGAAAUAUGUGAUUGGUUAUGACACCUUUGCUCGUUUUACGCUCUAUUGUUUGUUGGAUUAUUUACAAAUUAACUUUCUAAAAAUAAAGAUGUUCGUAUAGCUUAAAUCAUCAAUUAAGGUCUUAUUUAUUGUAAUCGUUUCUUGACGUGAAGAUCUUUAUGUGCACUCUUAAUGUUUUAUUACAAUUUUAAUUCAUGAAUAUAUAUGUUGUUUCUACCCUUUUUAUCGGCUACGUAUCAUUUCUUAUUCCAGGGGAAAUACGUAUACCUAGUCUUGCAGAAGUGAAGAGGGAAUUGGAGAGGAUGAAAUUGAUUCUCAAAACAAAAGGCCACCUUAUUGACCCUCAUAUGAAAGCCUAUCUUUUGCAAGAGAUUUUGCGCCUCCUUCCGCCGCCGAGUCUUCAACGUCUCAGUGACAGCAUAUCUACCGAUGCGUUAACGUUUUUCAUACUUUAAUUUUGAGCAAUAUUCUUUUUUUUUUUGGUUUCGUUUUUUGUGAGUUUGGCGAAUCAGCUUGACAUGAGUGAACUGUUUGUUUUUUUAUUAUAAAAUAUAUCUUUAAUUUCGUAGCAAGAUAUUGUGUUAGUUGUAGCAGUUUCAUUUUCUCCUACAUUAUAAUUCAUACCAUAAUUCAAUUUUCUUAAUAAUAUUAAACGGAUGAGUAUCAAUGUUUUAAAAAUCGGAUCGGACAUUGACGGGAACAAGCUACUGGAUCAUGGUUGGACCGGUUUAACCGGUUUUUUCAUUUUUUAUACACAUCUUUAAGUAUACAAAACAUAUUUUUUUCACACAUUAACUCAUUACUCAUUUUUCAUGGUUGGACCGACUUAUUUUUAUUUUACACACAUAACAUAUCAACAAACACAUAUGACACCGAAUCAUAGUAAAAAGACAUCGUUUUGGCCAUUUUAUUUGUUUAUUUUUAUUAAGAAAAAACAAUUUUAGGAAGAAAAAAAAACCCGGUUUUCACUCGGGUUUUGAUAUUACAUUUCAACCUGUCAAACUGGACCGGACAAGACAAUGAUUCGCGAUUUAAUCGGUUGAACCAGCCGGUCCAGUCCAGUUCAAAACACUGAGUAUAAUACAAUUUGAUAAACUUCCAAACCAUCACGCAACUGCAGCUGCUUAUGCAGUGCCAUUUUAUUUGAUCUUUUCUAGUACAUAGUUUAUGUAACAAUAAAAUAAAAAAUAAUGUAUCUUAUUUUCAUUAUUUGAUAUUUUCUUAUAUUAGGAUUGGAGUAUUUUUUUUUAAGAAAAUUAAAUCAUGCGACAAAUUAGAAAGUAGGAGAGUGACAUGAUUUAUUACGUACUCUUUAACUUAACGACGAGCUAGUAACAACUCUCAUUAUAAUAUUAGUCUAAAAUUUAUAUAGCGAACAAUGGUAGUAGUGAUGCUAAAAUUCAAUAUACAAUUAAACCUCCAUAAAUUUAUACAGUCGGGACUAGGGGAAUUCUAUUGAUUUAGCGAAUUAUUAAAUUAUCGAGUUAACAAUUUAACACGUUUUCACUGAGUAGGGACCGAGAGAAACUAUUCUUUAAUCGAUGUUAUUAAUUUAUCGAGGUUCUACUGUAAUGAUGAAUAUUGGAAUAAAUUGGGUUUCAAGAGUGAUUCAAAUAGCAAUCGAAGUCUCUUGGUAUAAUUACAGUUUUGGUCCCCCAAGUUUGCACGUUUUUCACUGUGGUCCCCCAUUUACCGCCGUCAACAAAAUACACACUAAUGUUGUCACAUGUUAACAGAUUUAGUCCCUCCGUCUGUUUGACCGUUAAGUAGUAAAGGUCAACGGUUGAAUUUGGGGUUUUUCUUUGAGAAAAUUGCAAUAAGACCCCUGUAUUCUUUCAAAAUAUUCUAAAAACCUCUAAAAUUUUAUUCAACCAUAAUUUAACCCCUAUUUCAUCAAUUAACCAAUUUUAACCAAUGACCCCGAUUUUUCAAAAUGUGAUAAUACGGCGUUGAAUUUCUUUUUAACUCGGUUGACUCUUUUGCCAAUUGAUCUUUUUUUUCCCGAUGUUGACCGAUAUUGAAUGUCGGCUUAACAGCGUUGACAUUUUUUUUUUCUUGAUUUUUAUUUUAUUUUUAUUUAAAUUGUUGAGUAAUGGAAAAAUAUAAUUGAAAAAAAAUCAAAGCAGAUAAUCGACAAGAAAAUAUUAUCAUACAAAAAAAUCAAAAUAAAGAAAAAAGGAAAAAGUCAAUGCAUCUCAAUGAUGGAAAAAUUUUAAGACAAAAACAAAAGAUAAAAGGAAAAAGUCAAUGCAACCCAGAAACCGUUGUACUAGAGUGGUUAUCUCAUUUCAAAUUACUCCGCACAUGCCUAAUUCAUCUUCUUCAUAUUUUCUUGGGAAUAAAUUUGGGAUGCACUAGCGGUUCCACGAAGAAAAAAUUGAGGGGAAGAAAUUAUGGAUUUUAGAAUUUUUUUAAAUUGUAUUUGGGCCCUGGAAUAUAAGAUAAAAACUUUGUUAAAAGUUUGUAAUUUUAAUAUUACAAUACUAGAUAUUAAUAUAGUAUUAUUAUUGUGUUAUACAUAAUUGUGUUAAUCGGAAAAAAAGUCAAAGGAAAAAGUUCGUAAAAAAUCAAGAAAAAUAAAAAAAGUCAACAUUGUUAACCAGGAAUACGAUGUCGGUGAACGGCGAAAAUCAAUAUUAAAUAAAAAAGUCAAUGCAUAAAAAAAAAAGUAAAAAAAAAAAAAUCAACGGCGUUCAACGGUCAGCGGUAAUGGUGGUAAAAAUCGGGGUCGUUUGUUCAAAAGUGAUUAAAUGAUGAAAUUGGGGUUAAAUUAGGGUUGAAUAAAAUGUUAGGGAAUUUUACAAUAUUUUAAAAUAAUGCAGGGGUCUGAGUGCAAUUUUUAUUUGUGAAAAAUCCCAAAUUCAGCCCUAAUUCAACAGUUGACCGUUAUUUAUUAACGCUUAAAUAGACAGAAGGACUAAAUGUGUUAAAAUGUGACAACAUUAGUGUGUAUUUUGUUGACGGCGGUAAAUGGAGGAUCAAAAGUGAAAAACGUGCAAACUUGGUGGACCAAAACUGUAAUUAUCCCAAGUCUCUUCCAUGGUGUGAUUUGAUGAUUUUUUUUUGGCAACGAAUAUAUGCAAGACGGAAAUUACUAAGUGCAAGACCUUACUUCAUGCAAGAUCAAAAUAUAAAUAAACUUACUAAGAUCAAGACUGGAAAUUACAAAUAUAUCCCCAAUAUUAAUUUAAAUAUUAUUAAUUCAAAUUAGGCUAAUUGCUAUUGCAAGAACAAAAAAAAAAAAAAAGGAAUAAAAAAAAAGGAAAAAACGAGGGAAAGCACUCUCCCAAGAAAACCCCAACAUCUUCUUCUUCACACUCAUUUUACACACUUUUUUCCACAAAAAAAUCUUCCAUAUUCUCCAAAACCCUCAUCACACAAAACCCUCAAAUCUUACUAAAACUUGAAAAGAAUGACAUUAUGGAUACACAAGACAUAAAUAUGGAGGAUUCUAAGGUCGAAGAACACAAAGAGGUAAGAAAUAUUGUACUUUGCGAUCGUUUUUCUCGUUUUUCGCACCUCAUUUCACGUACAAAAAAUUCGACGUGUACAGGUCGAAAUAUGCUCCGAAUAUCGACACACUAGUGUCGAAAAUUUCAACAUAAAUCGACACUUUUUUACUGUCGAUUUUUAUUGAAUUUUUCGACAUUCUGGUGUCGAUAUUCGGUGCAUAUUUCGACCUGUACACGUCGAAUUUUUUGUACAUGAAAUGAGGUGCGAAAAACGAGAAAAACGAUCAACGGCGACGACUGCAACGACGACGGGGGAUAUUUCUAGUGCUUGUCGACUGCAACGGCGACGGGGGGGUGGUGGACUUCAAUGGCGACGGCGACCGCGAAGGGGGGCGGCAGCGAGUGCUGCAAUUGAAUUUUUUUUUGUUUUCUUCCCUUCUUCCCUCCUCCUCGUUUUUCAAUUCUCGUUUUUCAAUUGGCUUCUUCUUUCUUUUUUUUAUUAAUUUUUCUUUUUUAAAUUGGUCUUGCAAAAGUAAAUUAAUAAAAUAAUGUUUAUUUUGUUUGUAUUUUAUUAAGGUUAUUAUAGUCUUUUUAUACUUAAUUUGAUAAAAAAAAUAAUUUGGUCUUGCCCUAAGUAAAUUUGUAAUUGCAAAUAGUCGUUGCCUUUGUUUUAGGGUUUUUCAACUUGAAAAAAAUAAUAAUAGGGUUUAACUGCAACAAUUCUUAGUUAGAGGGGUUAAAGUCAUAUUAAUGCUUAGUUAGAAGAGUUGAAAUUAUAUUGAUGCUUAAUUUGAGGGGUUGAAGUGAUAUAUAAUGCUUACUUUAGGGUUUAAACUUUAAUUUAUUUAGCAAAUGAUCAUCAAAUAAAAAAGCCUUUUUCCGACGAUCAGUUGUAAAUUGUAAUCUCUCCACUCCCGAGAUUAAACCCCAUAGGUGGCAGUUGCAAUGUCCAUGCCCACCGUCGCCGCCGCCGCCGUCACCGUCACCGGCCGUUAUCCCUCGCCGUAUUCUUUCUCGGCGCACGGUAAUUCGAGGAUGACUACUGUAUUGGUUAAUGUGCUCCGGCUAUGCUCGCCGCCGUGGUUAUGGUGGUGGGAUAUAUACGGAGUAAAUUGGAUGUGGAAAUUCUUCAUCGGAUGGCUAUUUCCAGAUUGUAAGCCAUUAAAUUUACUGUUUUGGUGAAUUGUAUGAAAAUGCAAUUGCCUUUAAUUUCUCUAUGCCUUUUUUUGAUAGUAAAAUUUUGAGUACUUUGGUCGAAUUAAUUGGGGAACCUCAUACCUAAUUGAACUCUUGGGAAAUUCAUAUUUGCAGUGGCUUUUUUUUUUUCUUUCGUUUCCCUGUGAAUUAUUAUAUCAAUGUAUAAGUAUAAGUGAUUAUAUGAUAAUACCGUAAUUUUUUCAACUGUUACAAUUUCUAUUGUCAUAUAUUAAUUUUUACGUUUAUAGAACAAUGUCUUUAGGUUGUAUGCCUUACAAUCCUGUCUGCGUGGCUAUCCUGCUUCUGUCAUACUGGUUACGUUUAUAGAACAAUUGCUGCUCCUUGUUUAGAACUCAUAUUAUCUAUAGGAAAUGGUUCCUGCUAAUUUUACUUCUCAUUGUUUGAAGGAAUAUGGGGCAUGAUCGAGACCUGGCAAGAGAUGUAUUUUCAGUAUCAGGUAAUAUUUUAAUCUGGAUAUUGAAGCCUAGUCUUGGUGCUUAUUGAGUUUAUAUUUUUGGAAUAUGGGGCAUGAUCGAAAAGUGCUUCAUCUGAUAACAUUUAUAUGAAAGAGUAUAUAUCGCAUAAAUGACUGCGUGGGUAAAUGCUUUUAUUGGCGGGGUUUCCCACAAAUAAAUUUUACCCUACCCUCCCUACUCCGUAUUCCCAUUCUACUUUCUCACACAUUCUCUGCAUCUCUCAAUCCCUCGUUCAAUUUUCGAUCUCCAUCUCCUCAUUUUCUCUUAUCAAAGGUUCAAACUCAGAGGAAAAGUUGUUGAAACUCCAAUAAUUGAAAUGGUCACGAUAUGCAUUUUAUAGAAGAAGAUAUUCAUAAAAUGUUAGUUGUACUGUUGGCUUGAAAUGAGAAGAAAUGCUUUAUAUUCUUCUACGUAUAUUAUUGAAAUAGAGAUCCUUUCCAUGUAUCAUAUAUAAUACAUUCAUUUUAUUGUCACGUCUCAUAUUAUUGGCUAGUUUUCGUUCUCUUAAGUUCGUUUUUUUUUAAUUCAUUACAUUUUUAUUUGCUAUGCAGAAUCUAAAUAGAGAAUAAUGGUGUUGGCUAAGAGCGAUCAAGACUGAGAUGAAAUGCCAAAAUACCAAAGAGCAAUCAGUUUUCAGCAUUACCAAAGUAAGUUUGGUACAAUUUACUAGUGGUUCGGGUUUUGUUAAUGAAAUGCCAAAGAAAAAUCUCUAUAUUUUUUUCUUUUUUUUUUUUACAGAAUAUUCAUUUCUACCUAUUCUAGAGGAAUUUCUGAACCAAACCUAAUUGUUUGGUUUUAGUAUUAAGUUUAGCAAAAUGCAAACUGAUAUUUCUGUUUGCUAAUGUUGGAUUUUAUGAAUGGACAAGCCUAUUAGCAGUGGAUAUUGGGCUUAGAUACUCUUUCAGAACUCCAAGAAAUGGUUAAUGAAGAGUCCACAAAACAUAGUAAGGUAAUGUCAAACCCUUCCAAUAUAUUUUGCAAAAUCGUAUACUCGCUAAAUUUGGUUAAUGCUAAUACGUUAAAUGAGCUGGCAUGUUGGUGGAUGGAUAAGACACAAUUUAUUGCGUAUCGCUGCAUUGACUGUCGGUCUUAUUACGGCAGAUUUUCUCACCACUAUAUAACACUCGUUUUCCCUGCCCCCAUUCAUUCGCAUAUCGCCAUCUCUCUAUUUUCCUUUCAUUUUUUUACUUUUCUUGUCACCAUUUUCUCAGAUUUAAGGAUUUUUCUUUAUCGUUGGUUGAAAAUGAUGAGAUUUGUGUUCGAUAUCUUUUAGUUUUUAAUUUAGUUUUCGAUUGCGCUUUUUUUUUUUUUUUUCUUUCUUAUUCUUCGUUGGUCUCCACCUUAUCCCCUUAACUGUAUUAGACAUUCAGUUUUCUAUCUUCAAACCAUUUUCUGGAUUGAAGGGUUUUGAUUUAUUUCUGGAUGAAAAUCAGAUGACACAUCUGAUUGGACAUAAUUAAUUUUAUUUUAUUUUUGUUUUUGACUUUUAUAUUUUCAUUAUGCUUGGUUUACUCAUCCAUUUCUUUCUGUUCAAUUUUCAUUAUUUCUCUGGAAAUUCUUGAAAACAUGGCAGCUCUUACUAUGGAUUUGGGUGAAAUCAUCUAUAUACCAGUUUGAUUGGAAAACUAGUUUUUUCGAAUUCAAACUGCCUAAAGAGUCCUAUGCUCUGCAUGAUCCACACCUCAGUAGUGAAUCUCAAAUUUUUUUUUGCGAAAUUAGAUAUACAAAAGUGAGAACUAAGGGUUCCUAUGUUAUAUGUUAAUAUCUUCGUCUUUCGGUGUGACAAACGCUAAUAAACUCAAACAAUUGUCCUCAGCGUCACAUGUGUGGUAAAGAUAUAGUUGUUGGAUACAUCAAAUGCAGUUUGAAGGAUUAUUGCGUUCUCAGCAUCACUAAGUUGUGAAUACUUUUUGUUGUUGAAGAUACUUUUUCAUUUCAGUGUUUCAGUUUUAUGUUAAGCUACUAAAAUUACAUCUUUUGCAUCUGGAAAUUCUUUGACUGGAACCAAUCUUGUGACGUAGGCUUCCAAAUUGUCACAGUCGAAGAAUUUCUACGACACAAAAGAUUUUAGUAGUGUCUAACAACUGAGCAUUGAAGUAUAAAAUGUCUCCAACAACAAAAGUUCUCAACAUUUAAUAAUGCAUGAAACGGGAUGGUUCUUUUUAUUGCAUUUGGUGCAUCAUAAAACUAUUUCUUCAUCAUUCUUGUGGCAUUGAUGACAAUUGUUUGAGUCACUCUAUCAUACUCGAAGACAAAAAUGUUAACAUAAAAAUCUGUAGUUCUCAUCUUUGAAUAUCUUUUUUUGUGAAGAAGUUGGAGAGAGAAUAUCUUGUUUUUAUGAGACGUGUUAUUGCACUUUCAGUUGUCAUUAGUACCCUAAUCGAUGUUGCUAUUAGAGACUUUCUGAUUUUAGUAAAUUCUUUGGUUGAAAUUCUGAUUUUAGGAUGCUAUCGUUACUUUCUAACUUGUUGCCAUCUAGGCUUCCAUCUUGUUAAGAACGUAAAAACUUCUGUUAAAAUUUUAGUUAGAAGCUUCUUUCCUUAUACUGACAACGCACUUGGAUAGAUGCACGCAGAAAGCAUAUACUAUCACAUUCCUCCGUUGGUCUCUAGUUAUUGCAUCGAGAAGAAUUCAACUACAUAUAUCUGACUUUCAAAGUUAUGUUAGAAAAGUGUUUUUCAUAUUUCAAAUAUUACUGAGAAAUGAGUAUAUGUAUGAUGUGAAUUACUUACUGAGUUACUUUGCGUUUUCUGUUCUGACAAAAAUAUUUCUGCACCAUUAAACAGUGAUACAUUUUAAAAUCAUCACGAUUUGCUUAAUAUUGUAAAAAGAUCUUCCUGAUUUAGUAUUUAAGGAUGAAGGGUUUUUGCAGAGAGACCCGUCCGAUGUGGUAAUAUUUGUAAUUUUAAUGAUUGUUUACGGUGUUACGUGGUCAAUAAAGUAUGUAUUAACCAAAGUGAUCCAAGGGUGUCUUAAGUUUGCAUUAUAGUGAAAAAUGCAUUUGGAAGAAUCUUUUUUGUACACACACACACACAAUAAAAUUGACACAAUACAGUUAUAAAAGAUAUGCAAAUGCUAUGCGAAUGAGAAAUUUAUAGUGGAGAAAGAUAAUUUUGUAUGAAGCACCAAUUCUGGAUGUUUUGACAACGAAUGAUGUACUAUCAAAUUGAAUACGUCCUCAUUUGGUUGUUACAAUGAGGUGACCAAGAUAAGAUUAUUUUAAUUUUAUUAGGGUCCAAUUGUAUAAAUGCACCAAUUAAUCUAUAAGAGAAGGGCACAAUUAUUUUCUUUUCAAUUUUUUUAGAUGCUCCCAAAAAUUAUUGAAUUAACUAAAUAUGAAAUAAGAUAUAAUUAGUCAUGAUUUAUCUUGUUAACCAACAAAGCCAAAACAUUUUUGAGAGCGAUUUUUUUUUUUCCCUCCUGAGAGACUUUGAUAAUCGCUUGAUGUAAAUAUUCAUUAUUGAACAUAAUUAAUUAUGGUAUUGAAGAAAGUUGAUUUCCUCAAUUUGUGUUAUGUAUUUGUUGACACUUUUUAUGUGUCGUGGUAAUAAAAUAGUUGAAAUUCCAAAAACUAAAAGCUUUAGAUUUCUAUCAUUUGUAUGGCUUGUGCACAAGGAAGAAUGAAUAUGGUCAGGAUAUGCAUCUUGAAAAAUAUAGCUUAUAGUCGAGAAUGGAAAAUAAGAACUUCCAUUUUCAGGAUAUUUUAUGUUAUAGUAUUUGGUAAUAGCUUUAUUAGAGGAAUAUUUGGUCAAUGAGCUUACAUUUGUUUUUAUGUAUUGGAUGCUUAGCUAGUUUGUCCGGAAAUCCGUAUUGAAGUGUUGAACCACACAGCGCUGUUUUAAGCAGCAGUGUACUUUAGUUGCAUAAUGCUCUUACUAAAAAAUAAUCUCCUAAUUGGUAGAAGCAGCUUAUAUUACAUAAAACUUUUCUGAUUAGCUAACUUUAUUUUUCAGCUUCAAGAUUUCAUGAGAAAGAAAAAUGGGAAACUAACUCUUGGUACACUAGACAUCGUGGUUGCAUCUUUUUUCUUCUUCGCUUUUUCGGGUUUAAAAGAAUAAUUGAAAUAAUUUAAAGUUUUUAACGUAUAGGGAUUACUCACGAUUAAAUGAAAAUGCGCCAGUAGUAAAUCUAUAGGUGCAAAAAAUUUGCUCAUAAGUUGUUUGAUCUUAAUCUGGUAUGGGGGCUACAAAAGUUUGGGUUGAGCUCCAAAGUUAUAUGCAUCUAAUCAAAACAACAUCAAAUAUCUAUAUUAACCUUUUAUUGCACUGUAUAACUUGGCACUUCUUUAGCUUAUUGAGCAGAAAUCAAGCUAAACUUGAUAAAUAGGCUGACUAAUAUGAUAUCAAAAUUUACCAUUCCUAGAAAAAUUAUGCUGAAAUGAUCUACUUAGCAGUUGGGUAGAUGUGUACGGUUUGGUAAACCGACCGAACCAAAACCAAAGCCUUAGUUUGUACCGAAUACUGAACUGCUAUCCUGUUUGAUAUUCGUUUUCCAUAUUUCACAGUUUUAGUUCGGUGCUGAUACUUUUGGUUUAAGUUUAUGCAACUUUUUUUUUUAAUUCAUUUAGAAUUUUACAUGUAAGCUAUUUGGAAAAGCAAUCAAGAUCGAGAUGAAAUUUUUGAAAUUUCCAAAGAGCAAUCAAUACCAAGAAUGGCAAUCGGUUUUCAGCAUUGCCGAAAUAUGUUUAGUGUAACUUCAUUUGUCUGCAAUUCAGUUCUCCCUGGAUAUUUACGAAUUUACCGAGCCAAACCAAAUUUUUUGGUUUUUGGGUAUUAAGUGUUGCAAAAUGCAAAAUGAUAUUUCUGUUUUCUAAUUUUGGGUUUGCUGAAUGCACAGGCCUAUUAGCAUUAGCAGUGGAUAUUGGGCUUCGAUAAGAAGUCCAAGAAAUGGCUCGUAGAAGUUAAAAAACGUAGUAAGGUACUGUCAAGCCCAUCCAAUAUAUUUUGUUUCCGUAUAUUGCUGCCAGCUAAGAAUUGUUAAUGCUAAUACGGCAAAUGAGUUAUUGAGUUGGUGGAUGGAUAAGUCAGAAUUUAUUGCAAUUGACUGUCGACCGUAUCACGGCAGAUUUUCUCACCAUUAUAUAACACGCAUUCUCCGUGCACCAAUUCAUCCACCAUAACUCCAUUUCUCUAUUCAUCUUUCAGUUUUCUUCUCGUCAUUUUUUCCGAUUUAAGGCCUUGCUUGAUUUUUUGGUUGAAAAUCAGAUGAGAUUUGUGUUUAUAUCUGUAAUCUGUAAGUUUUUUUAUUUCAUUUUGUUUUUGAAUGAUGCCUACAUUUGUUUCUUAUUCUUGUUACACCUCCCUCCCCGCCUCCCUAGCUGCAUUCAACUUUCAUUUUUCAACCGUGUAAUCAUUUUCUCGGAUUCAAGGAUUUUGAUCUAUUUCUGGUUCAAAGUAACAAAGGACAUAUCUGAUUUGACAUACAUCAUUUUUUUUUAUUUUGUAAUUUUCGAUUUUUCAUUCCCUGUCGCCUAGUUGUUUCCGUCCAUUUCUUUUUGUCCAGUUUUCAUUCAUUUCUACUUUGGAUUAAUGAUAGAUCUCAUCUCGAUUUGAAGAUUAGUUUUCUAGGACAAGUUUUUGUGUCGUAGUUAUGUUGCUUCUCUUUCUGAUGAUUUUUUUUUCCUUGUAGAGUUAUCAAUGAAGAAAUAUCCUCUGCCAGAAAUAUGCAGAGGAACGAGCUCAAGUUUAAGGUAAAUUUCGUGAAAGUCAAUUAUGACAGAUCUCUUAGAACCAAAGAUUGAUAAACAGAGAACAACAGGGAUCUGUUGUUGUUUUUCAAAAAAAAAAUAUCUAGUCUUCAGUCACAAAAUGAUUUAGUAAAUAAACUUAUCUUAGUUAACUUAAUCAACAGAUCUUAAUUAACUUAAUCAACAGAUCUUACAUUAGAUACCCUUGUGAAAUGGAAGGAAGCUAUCUAUACUUAUUUUUGAGAGGUUAUAUCCGGAACUGUACAUCUCUUAUAAUUUCACUCUCGUAAAGUAAGAUAUUCAAAAAGUGAGGACAAUGAGUUCCUAUGUUAACAUGUUUGUCUUUGGGUAUGACGGAUGAAAAGAAGUGACUCAAACAACUGUCAUCAAUGCCACAAUAAGGACAAAGAAAAUGUCCUACAGAUUCGGCGACGCAGUUUUCGUACCAGCUGGCUGCCCUCACCAAGCUAGAAACCUAAAGGUUUGAAUGUCUGGCUUGUAUACAACCAACGACUUCAAUUAGUUUCAGUCGAAUGUAAAUUUUUCGUUGUCAAUUUUGCAAUUAACUUUGUGUACGAUGUUCCAUCUUGCAGUCGUGCACAAGUAUGUCUGUCGACUUUGUUUCAGCAGAAAGUGUCGGUGAGUGGAUCCACCUGUCAACGGAAUAUCGGUUGUCUCCCUCACAAUCAUAGUUCUAAGGAAGACAAAUUGCAGGUAUGUAAAAUAAUAUGAUUGUCUUGUCAAUAACUAAAAUCGGAGAUAUAUAUAAUGAAUAUAAUGAAUUGGAGACAUCUAACGGCUCGUAAUAAAACAGGUGAAGGGAUUGGUUCUCAGCGCUGUACUUGGACAAGAUUGAUGCGUAAGUCAUAUAUGCUUGUUAAACAUAUGUCUUUAUACGAUACGAUGUUAAUUCAUUUUAUUUUAUUAUUUACCAGUAUUACGUUAAAAAGUCCAUUUGUACCACCCUCUUUUGAGCAUGGGAACGUACGCCAGAAUCCAGCUCAGCAAGGGGAGAAACCUAGUCUUUCACAAAUGAGGAGGGAGUUGGAGCGGAUAAACUCGGCUCUCGAAACGAAAGGCCACCUUUUUCAACCCCAUAUGAAAGACUCUUAAAAGAGAUUCCGCUCCUCACUGACAAAAUAAGCUUCAAUAUGCUCUUUCAGAUAUGGUACAUUUGCACCCUCUAUACGCAUCGGAAUGUACAUCGGAAUCCUGCGCUGAUGAAAAAGAAUGUGUUGGCAGGUGAUUAAGUUUACUCUUGAAAGAAUGUGUAGCUAGAAACUAUGGAGACCCUCUGGCUGCUGUUAUAUUUAUAUAUACUUCAUUAUUGUUUAACAUGAUUUUUGGGUAAUUGGUCGAAUAUGUUGGUGAGUAUUUGUUGAUUAUUGUUUUUAUUUACUAUAUAUAUAUAUUUUGGUUAUUGUGAUAAUAAUGCCCUAAAUGUGCCAACUGCUGCAAUUUCUGUUGCCGUACAUUAAUUUUUAUCUCCCAAGAAACUCCAUGGUCGUAGGUUAUGGAAAGGCGUGUUACGUUGUUUGACUUACAAUCUUGCAUGCGUGGCUAUCCUGCUUCUCUCUGUUGUAUUAGCUACUAUAGGAUUAGCAUCAAUUAUUGUUACUCCUUUACUAUACGUUGUUUUGUAAAAAAAAUCAAAUGUUUUUCGACCAAAAAACCGAAAAAAUUAUGACAUCUUAUUGGUAACUUGAUGGUCCCUACUAAUUUUUAUUCUUAUUGUUUGAAGGAAUAUGGGGCAUGAUCGAGAGUUGGCGAGAGAUGUAUUUUCAGAAUCAGGUAAUAAUUUAAUUUGGAUGUUGAAGAGUAGCCUUAGUGCUCUUUUAAGUGUCAAAUAAUCGGAAAGUGCUUCAUCUGAGAACAUUUAUAUGAAAAACGAAAUGUCGCAGAUAUGAAUGCGUGACUUAGUUAUUCAAGACUAACGGAUAUGUUAAUAAAGCUAUUAGUUAUUAUAUGUCUUCAGUUAACUUGUUCAAGUAUUGAUCAAAUAUAUUAUACACAAUUGCAAGUGAUAUUACUCUUCGAUAUGUUCAAACAUCUCAAAAGAACUUUGGUUUUAGGAAAAGAAAUCGUGCCGGAUAUUUGGUAGAUAAAACAAUCGGGAAUGAGGUUUUUAGCAUCACUCCUUGAGUUUUUGCUUUUUUCAUACCUAGGUAAACUAAAUUAAUGGCUCAAGGAAGUUCACAAUAGACUGUAUGGUACAUUUCAUAUCUCGCCAAAUGUCAUUUUGCUGACAGCUAUGGUUGAUGUAACUGCUAAUAUGUAAAAUUAGCUGGCAUCGUCACUGGAUAUGAAGCAAUUUAUUAGGGGUCGAUACAAUCAAUGCUGACCUUAUCGGAUUUACUAGCGGAGUUUCCCACAAAUAAAUUUUACCGUCCCCUCCCUACUCCCAUUCUUCUAUCUCGCCCAUUCUCUCCAUCUCUGUAUCCCUUGUUCGAUUUUCCAUCUGCAUCUCCUCAUUUUCUCAAAUUAAAAACUUCUGUAUUGUGUGUGGUUCAGAAUCAGAAGAGUUUGUGAUCUGAUUUAGGUGAUUUUAUAUUACCUUUUCUUGUUUUUCCCUUUUUUUGUUCUUCUUAAACUUGAUGAACUGAGUUUGCUAUCUAAUUUCCAUCACUUUCUUGUUACAUUUCAUGACACGAUAUCUUCUAUUUUAGAUUAAAAAAGAACAUGCGUUUGUCAUCUUGAUUUUGAAGAUUAGAUUUUAGGAUUAGUUUUCUUACUCCUCCUUGCUGAUUAUUUUAUCGUUUAUGUUGUAGAAACUAAGGCUAUGUUUGGUAAGAUUUUGCACUUUCGUUUCCAUUUUAUAUUUUGGAGAAAGAUGUUUUGGGAGAAGAAUUUGAAAAUAAAUAAAGUGUGUUUGUGUUUUGAGAAAAGACAAUUAUGCUGUAAUCAAUCAAAUCAUGUCUGAAAAGUGUUGGGAAAAUGUAUUUUGUAAGAAGAAUUUGAAGGAUAAAAUGAUUUUAAUUUUUAUUUUAGUGAAGAAUUUUUUACUCAAAUCGUGUUUGAUUGAAUGAGAGAAGUAUUUGAAUUUUUUUUGGAGAAAGUCUUUGAAAAUAUUGUAGAAAGAUAAUUUUAUUUUUGUGAAAGAGUGAAAAAAAAUUGAAAAUGGUAACAAACAUAGCCUAACAAUUUUGAAAAAAAAAAUUUCUUCUAUAAAUAAGGUUGGUUUAAUCACUGCAUGUAUUCUUACUUAUAAUUAAAAAUUAAAAUAACUAAUGUAUAAUUAGUGUGGUGCAAUCCUUAUGAAGAAACCAAUAACCACUAUUAUAUACUUUAUGUUUUUUUCCUUAACCUUUAUCUCCCACUUUUUUUUUUGUGGUAGAAUUUAGAGGACAAAAAAUCAUUAGUCGGCAUAGGUUACGUGAACAUAUUAUUUUUUUUAUUUUAAUGGUUGAAAUAUUUAUUAAUAGAUUCUGGUGAACUAGUUACUAGGACCAGUUUUAUUGUCAGUGUGCAUAAGUAGUAAGUAGCAAUAAUUUAAAAUAGAUAUUUUUCUUAAAAUGUCCUUCAGGAAUCCUAAUUUGAGAUUUUUUUCCUGGGCCCUCCAUUUUACAGGCAUGGUAAGUAAAAACGUUUUUGGUUAGUGAGAAGGAAAAUGAUUUACAUAUUUAUGUGAAUCAGCAUAAGAUUGCAAUAGUCAGUAUUAUAUUGCAGUAAUAUGUAUAAGUAUGCAAUAGUCAACAUUAUAUUGCAGUGAGCAGUAUCGGAUUACACUAAUCAACACAAUUUUCCUUUUUUGCUGGUAAGACAUCCUUAUUUCAUUUUCCCUGGAACAAUUAUGCAUACAUUUUGCCAUUGCAGUUAAGAGAACGUGGUGCUCUGACUGAGAAAACAAUUGAAAACCAAGAUUUAUCAAGGCAAUUAAUUUUCGGGGAGUUAAAAUGAUGCCAUUGAAAAGUUCAAAUGGAGAAACAUCUUCUGCUGGAAAUAUGCAAAUGAACGGACACAACUUAAAGGUAAAUUAAUAAUGUUAAUUGUAGCAGAUCUAUCGAACAAAACAAUGAGAAACAUAAAAUAACAUGUUGCCUUCCUAGUAUUAUGUAUAUCAGUUGAGAUUUAAAUUUCUAUAAGAUUUGAUAUAAGUAUAUAGGUUGCAGAAUUCAGUUAUCCAUGCAAUUGUCUUGUAUCAACUACUUUUUAGAAGUAAAAAAUCAAAUUGCAUUUUGUGUUUGUCUUUUCAACGAGACCCCAUGUGUAAAUACCAAGUUAGAAAAACCCCUUUUCAGACUAUUCAUAGUGAAAUUACUUUGACUAAAUACAUUUAUUUGUAAGUGUGGAUUCUUGGAUUUUGUGAUGUUGGUCUUGAAUUAUUUAGUCUUCAAUCAUGAAGUGAUUUAAUGUAAAUAAAUGUAUCUUUGUUAUUUUAAUCAAUAGAUCUAAACAUUAGAUAUCCACUGGACAUGAAUAUAUAUAUAUAUAUAUAUAUAUAUAUAUAUAUAUAUAUAUGUAUGUAUGUAUAUAUAUAUAUGUAUAUAUAAUUUAAGAGUAAAAGGAUACAAAUGUUUGGAUGAUCUGUCAUAAUUUCAUAAUAUUCAGAGGUGUCUAAAUAUUGUUCAUAAAUAACUUGAUGGCGGCAGAAAACAAUGAUAUGUCACCACAAUUAAAGUUAAGAUCCUAAAGAAGAUUAUAUCCAGAACUGUAGAUCUCAUCUAAUUCAUUCCAUUGCCAACUUUUCAUAAAGUACUAUAUUAAAAAUCGAGGAUAUACUCUAUGUUAAUAUGUUUUUCUUUGGAUGUGGCAGAGGAAAAGCAUCGACUCGACCAAUUGCCAUCAAUGUCAUAGAAAUGACAAAGAAAAAGUCGUGCGAUGCACCAAGUGCAAGCAUAGGGGUUAUUGUAUUCUCUGUAUCAAUAAAUGGUGAGAAAUUUUGUUGCUUGAUAUAUUAUUUGCUGCUCUUAUGUUGGUACUUGGUAUAUCUUACAUGGUGGUUUGUUUUUUGUGAUAUGGAUAAAUGUCAUUUAAGUCAUACUGAUUAAUUUUGAGUUUUACCGCCACAAAGUAGGAUGGUAUAUUUAUUAUCUUCUCUUUGGAAUAAACCUACUACUCAUUUAGUCAUUUAUGAAUGGAUUUUUGCUUAAACAUGUUUCAAAGUAAGGGCUUCCCUUGGUUCUACACUAACAUUAUUCCUGCAUUUUCUUCAUAUUAUAUAUAUAUAUAUAUAUAUAUAUAUAUAUAUAUAUAUAUAUAUAUAUAUAUAUAUAUAUAUAUAUAUAUAUAUAUAUAUAUAUAUAUAUAUAUAUAUAUAUAUAUAUAUAUAUAUAUUUUUUUUUUUUUUUUUUUUUUAUCGUCGAUGCUCGUGCAUAUAGAUUUACUAUAUCUCUGUUGUAAUCACAGGUACAGAGGGCUGCAAGAGGCAGACUUUGCUGAAGCAUGCGCAGGCUGUCGCAAAAUUUGCAACUGUACAGCUUGCAUACAUCCUGAUCUGGAGAAUAAAGUUAGUAUUAAGGUUCUUCUCUUGAUUUUAUAUUAAUAUAGUAUUUUAUAUGUUUUCUAAUUAAGUCUCUUGUUCUUGCAUGUUAGGACUUGUUCAUACCAGACUUACAGCUCGACAUCAACAAAAAGGUCCAGUACUCAAAAUAUAUUAUUAGAGUACUUCUUCCUUCUUUUAGGAAGUUUGUUGUUGAGCAGAACGUAGAAAGAGAAGAAGAGGCAAGAAUUCAAGGUAACUUUAACUUUUGUCGGGAGGUUUUAACGUUCACCUGUAUUACACUUUCUGUUUUAGGUGUGCCUUUGUUUGUGUUACUAAACACUCACGGCUAUUAUCCUACCAAACAUGUAUAUUGAAUUGUUUAUUCAACAAAUAUAAUAAAUAGAAAAGGAUUUUAUAUGUUAACAGUUUCCGUUAAUGUUAUGUGCUACUCCAUUUCAGUGAUUUAUGAUUUUGAGGUAUUAGUGAGACGUACCUGGAGAUAAACAUAAUUGAUAGAACUUUUGAUUUUCCCUAGCCGAUGUAGUUUUAUUUGAUUAAUUAUAAUAUAUAUUUUGGUUGGGCAGGUGUUUCAGUUGCGGGACUACAGCUUCCGAAAGCCAACUUUAUCCACGGCGAUAAAGUCAAAUGGUGGAUACUUUUAACCUAUGUCGUUUUCUUGAUAAAUGUUUGCUUCAGUAUGCAAAAUGUUGAUAAUUAUAACUUGUGCUGUGCAGCGACAACUGUAAGACUGCAAUAUUCGAUAUCCACAGAAGUUGUCUAAACUGCAUGUACAAGCUCUGUGUAACUUGUUGCCGAGAGAUAAGGAAUGGCUUCCAAUGGGGAAAUGAUAAAUAUCACGUUCAUCAUGGGGGUCGUACUUUUACAAGCAAUGACAGAUUUUCUGCAACAGCCUGUUGUUCUAUGGACCACACGAGUUUUACUUCUGAAUGGAAGCUGAUAGACAGAGGUACCAUAGUUUGUCCACCUGAAGUAAUGGGGGGAUGUGCUCAUGGGAAUCUGGUGUUAAAGUCCACAUAUCCAGAUAACUGGGUAUAGGAACUGCUAAUUAAAGCAGAGUCCGUCGAUCUCGAGGUGUGUGAAGUUUCCGAAGAAGCAUGCUCAUGUUCAGGGAGUGCAGUCCGUAAUUUCCGUUGUUCCACUGUUGUGGGCGUUGACCAAACGCACUUCCAACGGCACCUAUAUAAAGGUGAGCCUGUGAUAGUCCCUGACGUGCUCAGCAGGACGACUGGGUUGAGUUGGGAGCCAUUAGUCAUGUGGUGUGGUUGCCGCAAAUCUAGAAGGACUAAUGACACUCGCAUUCUGGAAUUCAACGUAACGAAUUGCGUAAAUUGGUGCAAGGUAUGCCGACUUCUCUAUUAUGUUUUACUCUAUCAAUCAAAAAGUUUUUAUUUGGAAUUUUGUGAUUGGAUGACUCUCACGUUCACUUAGUUUUACAUUCUUUUGUUUGUUAUAAUAUUAACAAAUGAAUUUUCUAAUAAAUCAUGUUGUUCUUCGUAUACCCCCCCCCCCCCCCCCCCUUUGUUUUCUCUCAAUCGUGAUCUUAUUUCUUGUAAUUGAUUCUAGGUUGUAUUCUUUAUGUUCUUGAGCAUUCACUUGCUGCAAAUGGCUGCAGUAUUCUAUUGGUCCAUGUAAUCUUUCAAGAAAAGAACCAAGUAACAGAAAUACUAAUCGUUUAUUUUCCUUAGUUUAAUUGUGUCAACCUUCAAAAUUUCAAAACUUUAGUUCGGUUAAUAAGUGUCUAACACGAAUUUGGAUAGGAGAAAGCAAAGAUCUGACGAUUCGUCGUACUCGAUAUGUUUUCUUAAAUAGAGAUGUUUUGAUAGAUUUGCUCUUGAUGUUUUUUUUUUGCAUUUAAUUGUAAUGAUUUGAUUUUGGGACUAUGACACGCAGGAAACUAUAAACAUGCACCAAUUUUUCAACGGGUAUUCUGAAGGCCUCUUGGACAGUGAAGGCCGGCCCAAAAUUUUGAAGUUGGAGGAUUGGCCUCCAACUGAAUCCUUUCAAGAACGGCUGCCUCGGCAUUUCGUGGAGUUCAUUAGAUGCCUGCCUUUCAAGCUAUACACACAUCAAGCUGGCUACCUCAACAUGCCAGCGAAAACACCUAAAAAGUCGUUGAAGCCGGAUUUGGGUCCAAAAAUAUGCUUUGCUUAUGGAGUCAAUGAGGACCUUGGCUUCUGUU
rnacentral:lncRNA from 1 species